rnacentral:rRNA from 1 species
AGUGAACGCUGGCGGUAUGCCUAACACAUGCAAGUCGAACGGCAGCACAGUAAGAUCUUGCUCUUAAGGGUGGCGAGGGGCGGACGGGUGAGGAAUACAUCGGAAUCUACUAUUUCUUGGGGAAUAACGGAGGGAAACUUACACUAAUACCGCAUACGAUGUAAGGCUGAAAGAAAUGGAUAUUGGGAGUUGGGUGGAUAGUAAGAGAGGUUGUCAGAUUAGCUAGUUGGGUGGGUAAAGGAACACCAAGGCGACGAUCCGUAGCUGGUCUGAGAGGAUGAUCAGCCACACUGGAACUGAGACACGGUCCAGACUCCUACGGGAGGCAGCAGUGGUGAAUCUUCCACACUAGCCCAAAUCCUCAUCCAUCCACACCUCGUAAGUUAAGAAGGCCUUCGGGUUGUAAAGCCCUUUUGUUGGGAAAGAAAAAAAUCAUCUUAAUACAUCCCUGUUCUAACCAUCCCCCAACAAUAACCACCGGCUAACUUCCUG